CCGGCCUGAGAGGGUGACCGGCCACCUGGGACUGANACACGGCCCAGACUCCUACGGGAGGCAGCAGUGGGGAAUAUUGCACAAUGGGCGCAAGCCUGAUGCAGCAACGCCGCGUGAGGGACGAAGGCCUUCGGGUUGUAAACCUCUUUUAGCAGGGAAGAAGCGAAAGUGACGGUACCUGCAGAAAAAGCACCGGCUAACUACGUGCCAGCAGCCGCGGUAAUACGUAGGGUGCAAGCGUUGUCCGGAAUUAUUGGGCGUAAAGAGCUCGUAGGCGGUUUGUCGCGUCUGCUGUGAAAAUCCGAGGCUCAACCUCGGACCUGCAGUGGGUACGGGCAAACUAGAGUGCGGUAGGGGA
rnacentral:rRNA from 1 species